CCUACGGGUGGCAGCAGUGGGGAAUAUUGGACAAUGGGGGGAACCCUGAUCCAGCCAUGCCGCGUGUGUGAAGAAGGCCCUCGGGUUGUAAAGCACUUUCAGUGAGGAAGAACGCCUGGUGGUUAAUACCCAUCAGGAAAGACAUCACUCACAGAAGAAGCACCGGCUAACUCCGUGCCAGCAGCCGCGGUAAUACGGAGGGUGUGAGCGUUAAUCGGAAUUACUGGGCGUAAAGCGCGCGUAGGUGGCUUGAUAAGCCGGUUGUGAAAGCCCCGGGCUCAACCUGGGAACGGCAUCCGGAACUGUCAAGCUAGAGUGCAGGAGAGGAAGGUAGAAUUCCCGGUGUAGCGGUGAAAUGCGUAGAGAUCGGGAGGAAUACCAGUGGCGAAGGCGGCCUUCUGGACUGACACUGACACUGAGGUGCGAAAGCGUGGGUAGCAAACAGGAUUAGAUACCCUUGUAGUC
rnacentral:rRNA from 1 species